rnacentral:misc_RNA from 1 species
GAACGCACCUUGCGCCCUCUGGUAUUCCGGAGGGCAUGCCUGUUUGAGUGUCAUGUAGACUCAAUCCCUCGGGUUUCCGAGGAGAUUGGACUUGGGUGUUGCCGCUCUGCCGGCUCGCCUUAAAAGACUUAGCGGGAUAGCACCGUAGUCGGCGUAAUAAGUUUCGUCGGUGAAGGUUGUGAUGACUGCUUACAAUCGCCCUCGGGCAAUUUUUGACUCUGACCUCAAAUCAGGUAGGACUACCCGCUGAACUUA